rnacentral:rRNA from 1 species
UGGGGAAUCUUGGACAAUGGGGGCAACCCUGAUCCAGCCAUGCCGCGUGAGUGAUGAAGGCCUUAGGGUCGUAAAGCUCUUUCGCCUGUGAAGAUAAUGACGGUAGCAGGUAAAGAAACCCCGGCUAACUCCGUGCCAGCAGCCGCGGUAAUACGGAGGGGGCUAGCGUUGUUCGGAAUUACUGGGCGUAAAGCGCACGUAGGCGGACCAGAAAGUUGGGGGUGAAAUCCCGGGGGCUCAACCCCGGAACUGCCUCCAAAACUAUUGGUCUAGAGUUCGAGAGAGGUGAGUGGAAUUCCAAGUGUAGAGGUGAAAUUCGUAGAUAUUUGGAGGAACACCAGUGGCGAAGGCGGCUCACUGGCUCGAUACUGACGCUGAGGUGCGAAAGUGUGGGGAGCAAACAGGAUUAGAUACCCUGGUAGUCCACACCGUAAAACGAUGAAUGCCAGUCGUCGGGUAGCAUGCUAUUCGGUGACACACCUAACGGAUUAAGCAUUCCGCCUGGGGAGUACGG